ensembl:lncRNA
GAGCCGCAAAUACUUUUUGAAAUCUAAAAUGAAGAUAACACUGUAUAUAUUGUUUUUUUGUGCUUUGUGCGGACAACUAAAGUAAAUUGUAAGACCAGAAUGACAAAAAGAAAGGCCAGUCCUGAAAAGAAGACCCCCAUAAAAAGAAGGAGGGUCAGUGAGCAGGCUGGUCCUUCCACCAGCUCAGAUGCUCAUGUGAUCAAAGGAGUCAAGCGCAAGGUCCAACAAGAUGAAGCGGGGACAACCAAUACAGCAAAAAAGUGUAAACUUCUUGACCAUAUGAGCGGUGACAAGGGGCAAGCAUCUUCCUGGUUGGACACUGGUAAAGACUGCAGCAUAGACAUUUCAGAGAGCUGCAGUAAAAACCAAAACGCUGGCAAAAGGAAAGCUGCGGGAGACAGGAGGGACCCACCUAAGAAGAAGAACGUGGACCAGGACAAAACCAAAAAUGUUGCCAAAAAGUCAGUGGCCGAACAGAAAC